rnacentral:rRNA from 1 species
UACGGAGGGUGCGAGCGUUGUCCGGAAUCACUGGGCGUAAAGCGCACGUAGGCGGAUUGUUAAGUCAGGGGUGAAAUCCUGGAGCUCAACUCCAGAACUGCCUUUGAUACUGGCGAUCUCGAGUCCGGGAGAGGUGAGUGGAACUGCGAGUGUAGAGGUGAAAUUCGUAGAUAUUCGCAAGAACACCAGUGGCGAAGGCGGCUCACUGGCCCGGUACUGACGCUGAGGUGCGAAAGCGUGGGGAGCAAACAGG